rnacentral:rRNA from 1 species
AGAGUUUGAUUAUGGCUCAGGAUGAACGCUGGCGGCGUGCCUAACACAUGCAAGUCGAGCGAGAAGCCCAUGAUCGAUACUCGGUUGAUUGAUGGGUGGAAAGCGGCGGACGGGUGAGUAACGCGUAGGCAACCUGCCCCCUGCAGAGGGAUAGCCUCGGGAAACCGGGAUUAAAACCUCAUAACGCAGACUGCAGACAUCUGCGGUCUGCCAAAGAUUUAUCGGCAGGGGAUGGGCCUGCGUCUGAUUAGUUAGUUGGUGGGGUAACGGCCUACCAAGGCGACGAUCAGUAGCCGACCUGAGAGGGUGAUCGGCCACAUUGGAACUGAGACACGGUCCAAACUCCUACGGGAGGCAGCAGUGGGGAAUAUUGCACAAUGGGCGAAAGCCCUGAUGCAGCAACGCCGCGUGAGGGAUGAAGGCCCUUGGGUCGUAAACUUCUGUUCUAAGGGAAGAUAAUGACGGUACCUUAGGAGCAAGUCCCGGCUAACUACGUGCCAGCCGCCGC